AGACGUCUACAUUAGAUACCCGGGUAGUCCCAGCCGUAAACUAUGCGCGUUAGGUGUAUCGGUGACCACGAGUCACCGAGGUGCCGAAGGGAAACCGUGAACCGUGCCGCCUGGGAAGUACGGUCGCAAGGCUGAAACUUAAAGGAAUUGGCGGGGAGCACCACAACGGGUGGAGCCUGCGGUUUAAUUGGACUCAACGCCGGGAAGCUCACCGGAUAAGACAGCGGAAUGAUUGCCGGGCUGAAGACUCUGCAUGACUAGCUG
rnacentral:rRNA from 1 species